GGAAAGUUAUCCAAGUUGGUUAAGGAAACUGUUUAUUUAUCAUCCUUUGAGUGGAUUGAUUAGUAAACUUUUAUCAGGAGUUCGAAUCUCUUACUUUCCA
rnacentral:tRNA from 1 species